ACUAAGGUGGCAGACAAUUGUAUAAGAUUUAGGCUCUUACUAUGAAAAUAUAUUUCCCCUAGUA
rnacentral:tRNA from 1 species